rnacentral:lncRNA from 1 species
GUCAGACUUAUUAGCUCCAGGCAUCACUUGCUUUCCUAUGUAUACUUUUCUACAGUGUAACUGCCAAGCAAAAUGACAAAAAGGCAAAUUUGCAAAGGAACAAGUUAGUGUUAUUGUUGUUGGUUGGGUAUUGUUCUCAAAGGAGCUGAAAUUCUUCUAUUUUAUCAACAAAAUGUGGUAUAAAGGAAUAUAUUGGCAGUGUGUAUCACCGCUAAGGCAGAAGUAUGUAGAAUGCUAUGUGAAUUUAAUAGUCAUAAGGACACAUUCUAAAAGAAUACGUAGUAUCUGUGUUUCCUGCCAAACAAGGAAAAAGUCACACUGGCUCAAAUCUCCAGGAAUGACUUGUAUGUUUCUUGUUCUUCUUGACAUCUGCGGUUUAGCUGAUAGUCACAAAGAACCUUCUAUUCGUCAUCCAACUUGGGCUCCAGAGAAUUCUUGCAAUUCCAUCAGGGACUGUUGAGAGAACUGUUUCAGGAAUGUGCUUCAUUCUAUUACUUCCUCAUAUAUAAAUGCUCUGCCUGAGUGGAACUCUGCAAAUGUCGCUGAGAACAAGUGCUCUGCUGGUCUAUUAUACAAUUAAGAGCAGAGGUUAUGAUACUUCUUUAUACCCUUUUAAUCUAAGACCUGGUACACAGUGGGUAAGCGAUACUUGUUUAAAUGAGCAGCCUCUGGUCAUACUGUUUUCCUCCCAGAAGUCCUCUGUUCUUACCUUUGCCUGCAUAACACCUAGCCUUCAAGGUCCCAUUCAAAUAUCAUGAGUUACUGUAAUUCAUAAGCUACCCACUUCCUCUCAUGUAUCUAUCUGGUAAUAACAUGUAUCUAUUUGGUAGCAUUUAUAUUCUGCUGUGAUUAUAAUUAUUUUUGUCAUUAUCUUAUGUCCUAAUUUUUCAGUGGCACGGAGAGCAGCGUACUAUGUCUCAUUCAAUUUUACUUCCUGCAAUGCCUAGCAUUUGGCUUUGACUAUCUUAACUGCCAGUGGCUAGUUGUUGAGUGAAUGAACAUGACUAACAAAAAUAUUAUUCAUUGUUUUGCCAUCCUCCAGAAAAAAAAAUCCUAUUUCCACAGAAGCAAAUCUACAUUACUUGCCAGGCUUCAGAGUCUCUCCCAUGUCUAUUCACAUCCUUUCUGUGUAACAUGAUUUUAGGUAGCUGCCCAAGUCCUACUGGCCUUCUCAGUAUUGCAGGGACAUGGCAUAUUUAUUCUUGCUCCUAUCUCCUUGCUGAUGUUUCCUAGGCCUGAGUCCAAUCCUGUCUUCAUUUCAACUACCCAAACCUUAUUUCAGGGCCCAUCUUAGUUUCUGAAUUCCCAAUGGAGCACUCCAUGAUUAUUUCGGCAAUGUUUCUUUUCUUUCACAACUGAAAGAAAUUAAUACACUUAAUUUAGUACUUAAUCAUAUAAAGACCCCCCCC